rnacentral:snRNA from 1 species
CUGCUUGCUUCAGCAGCACAUAUACUAAAAUUGGAAUGAUACAGAGAUUAGCAUGGCUCCUGUGCACAGAUGAGACACAAAUUCAUGAAGAGUUCCAUAUUUUU